rnacentral:rRNA from 1 species
CCUGACUGCUAUCGGAUUGAUACUAAGCCAUGCGAGUCAUUGCAGUAAUGCAAGGCAGACGGCUCAGUAACGCGUAGUCAACCUACUCUAUGGACGGGAAUAACCUCGGGAAACUGAGAAUAAUGCCCGAUAGAACAUUAUGCCUGGAAUGGUUUAUGUUCCAAAUGAUUAUCGCCGUAGGAUGGGACUGCGUCCUAUCAGUUUGUUGGUGAGGUAAUGGCCCACCAAGACUAUUACAGGUACGGGCUCUGAGAGGAGUAGCCCGGAGAUGGGUACUGAGACACGGACCCAGGCCCUAUGGGGCGCAGCAGGCGAGAAAACUUUGCAAUGUGCGAAAGCACGACAAGGUUAAUCCGAGUGGUUUGUGCUAAACGAACCUUUUGACAGUCCUAGAAACACUGUUGAAUAAGGGGUGGGCAAGUUCUGGUGUCAGCCGCCGCGGUAAAACCAGCACCUCAAGUGGUCAGGAUGAUUAUUGGGCCUAAAGCAUCCGUAGCCGGCUCUGUAAGUUUUCGGUUAAAUCUGUACGCUCAACGUACAGGCUGCCGGGAAUACUGCAGAGCUAGGGAGUGGGAGAGGUAGACGGUACUCGGUAGGAAGGGGUAAAAUCCUUUGAUCUAUUGAUGACCACCUGUGGCGAAAGCGGUCUACCAGAACACGUCCGACGGUGAGGGAUGAAAGCUGGGGGAGCAAACCGGAUUAGAUACCCGGGUAGUCCCAGCUGUAACUAUGCAAACUC